CACUGACUAGGAACCUGAUCUCAGAUGAGGGUAAGGCAAGUGGGGCCAAGAAUUAGGUAAGGUGAGGCAGAAGCGAAAACCCCACCGAUGACAGUUUGGGAACUAAGCAUCCCCUGUACUGGCCACACCUGCAGUUGGCUCCAGUCUCACUUUUAACAUGCUGAAACACUCCAGUCAUAGCCAAACUAACUAUUGAAGUGCCAGCCAAUGUUGUUGAAGGGCACAGCAUUCUUCUACAUGUUCACAAUAAAUCACAGAAUUGGCAAGCCUUUUCCCAGUACAAAUGUUUUGAUCGCAAAGAAGAUGAUUAAACUGUAUCUUAUAAAAUAUCCCACUGAUUCAUAUAAGUGAGGGCAUCAAUCCAGUGGUAGAGAGACAAUAUUCACUAAUGGAUCCCUGCUGUUCUUUAAUGUCACUCAGAAAGAUACAAGAUGUUACAGCAUGCAAACCUUUGAUACAUAUCAUCAACAUGAACAAACAAAACUCCAUGUAUCACCCAGCAAGUGAUUCCCUGUAACUUCUGGAAACUGGAU
rnacentral:lncRNA from 1 species